rnacentral:rRNA from 1 species
UCGCGAAUUUUUCACAAUGGGCGCAAGCCUGACGAAGCCACGCCGCGUGCAGGAUGAAGGCCCUCUGGGUUGUAAACUGCUGUCAGGGGAGGGGAAACACCAGGGGUUAACAGCCUCUGGCUUGACUGCUCUCCAAAGGAAGCCCCGGCAAAACAUGUGCCAGCAGCCGCGGUAAUACAUGUGGGGCAAGCGUUGUUCGGAAUUACUGGGCAUAAAGGGUGCGUAGGUGGUUUGUUAAGUCACGGGUGAAAGUCUGCGGCCCAACCGUAGAAUCGCCUGUGAUACUGGCGAACUUGAGUGCGUAAGGGGUUACCGGAACGAGCAGUGUAGCGGUGAAAUGCGUAGAUAUUGCUCGGAAGGCCAGAGGCGAAGGCGGGUAACUGGUACGCAACUGACACUGAGGCACGAAAGCGUGGGGAUCAAACAGG